GACGAACGCUGGCGGCGUGCUUAACACAUGCAAGUCGAACGGAAAGGCCUUUUCGGAGGUACUCGAGUGGCGAACGGGUGAGUAACACGUGGGUGAUCUGCCCUGCACUCUGGGAUAAGCCUGGGAAACUGGGUCUAAUACCGGAUAGGACCGCACUUUAGUGUGUGUGGUGGAAAGUUUUUUCGGUGUAGGAUGAGCCCGCGGCCUAUCAGCUUGUUGGUGGGGUAAUGGCCUACCAAGGCGGCGACGGGUAGCCGGACUGAGAGGUUGGUCGGCCACAUUGGGACUGAGAUACGGCCCAGACUCCUACGGGAGGCAGCAGUGGGGAAUAUUGCACAAUGGGCGCAAGCCUGAUGCAGCGACGCCGCGUGGGGGAUGACGGCCUUUGGGUUGUAAACUCCUUUCGCCAGGGACGAAGCGUUUUGUGACGGUACCUGGAGAAGAAGCACCGGCUAACUACGUG
rnacentral:rRNA from 1 species